UGAUGAUGGUGAGCGAUGUGACUUGCUUGAUGAUCCAAGUGCUGGGGGUGACCAAUCAUCAGACGACUUCGGUGACCAAUUCCCCUGGGAUGAUUUGGGUGGAGAUUUUUGGGAAUUGGAGUUUUGUGGAGGGGACUUUUGGGAGUUGGAGUUAUUGUCCCCGUUGUUCUGGGAAGAGGGAGAUUUUUGGGAGUUGGAGUUUUGUGGGGGUGACUUUUGGGAAUUGGAGUUUUUGUCCCCUCCAUUGUUCUGAGAAGGAGGAGAUUUUUGAGAGUUGGAGUUUUGUGGAGGGGACUUUUGGGAAUUGGAGUUAUUGUUCAAGUUGUUGUCGUUUGAGUUAUUGUUGUCGUUUGAGUCUGAGUUUCCAUUUGAGUCGCCGUUCGAGUUUCCAUUCGAGGAGUCGCCGUUCGAGUUUCCAUUCGAGGAGUCGCCGUUCGAGUUUCCAUUCGAGUUGCCAUUUGAAUUGCCA
rnacentral:lncRNA from 1 species